rnacentral:tRNA from 1 species
UGGGUCCGUAGGGUAGCUUGGUCGAUCCUUUGGGCUUUGGGAGCCUGAGACUCCGGUUCAAAUCCGGGCGGACCCAUCC